AUUUAUGUUAUUUUUUGUCAUCCUUAUUUUUGGGGAUAUAACCCCUAUCUAUUUUUUAUUCUCCAAUGGCAACCAAUAUUACAAAUUCCAUAAAUAGAUGGAUUAUUGAUUAAAAUACAUUUUAGUGUUGACACUUUUGAUUUCUGUCGAUCCGUUUACGAGAUAUUCCACUUUUAAUUUUGGGUUGGAGGAAAGUAGUAGAUUAUCAUUUGUGUGGCGUUAAGGCCUGUGGCGA